GAUGAACGCUGGCGGCGUGCUUAACACAUGCAAGUCGAACGGAAAGGCUACAGCUUGCCGGGGUUCUCGAGUGGCGAACGGGUGAGUAACACGUGGGUGAUAUGCCCUGCUAUUAGGGAUAUGCCUGGGAAACUGGGGCUCAUACCGGAUAGGACCACAUGAUGGACGGGGUGGUGGAAAGAUUUUCGGUGUGGGAUGGGCUCGCGGCCUAUCAGCUUGUUGGUGGGGUAAUGGGCUACCAAGCCGUCGACGGGUGGCCGGCCUGAGAGGGGGUACGGCCACCAUGGGACUGCGGUACGGCCCAGACGCGUACGUGAGGCAGUAGGGGGGAGUAUGGCAGAAUGGGCGCGAGCCUGAUGCAGCGACGCUGCGUGGGUGAUGACGGCCUUCUGGUUGAAAACACCUUUCGCUAGGGAUGAAGCGCAAGUGACGGUACCUGGUGAAGAAGCACCGGCUAACUACGUG
rnacentral:rRNA from 1 species